GAUUUUCAAUUGAAUUCGUUGAAGCUAACAUCACCAAUUUCAACCAAGCAGAGCCUCAUAGCACCACCCUCAUCACUGCCUACAAAUCAGUUUCAUGAACAAAUUUCGACAUUAAUCCCUAGGAAAGUUACAAGAGAUGAAUUUCAUCAGAUGAUUCUGGACAAGAAUUUAUAUCCUUGUUUUAAUAAAGCGGAAGCCAAUAUUCCAGUCUGCAAGCAGUUCUCAUGGUCUCCCCAAGGACUCAACUAUCGUAAUAGGUGCCUCAUGGUUGUCUUAACAGAUACAGGCUCUUGCAGUAUCUACGUCAGAGGCAAAUUAAAGAUGGUCUUACACAAGAGUAUCUCUAAUGAGUGGGUCAAAAUAUGUGCCAAGCGGUGGGACAGUGAUACACUAUCUAAUUUUAAUGAUCUUCAAGAGAGAGUCCACACAAUUAGUAUAAAAGAAAUUGUGUGGAGUCAUGCUGCGGGUGACUGGACCAAAAAAACAGCACUUCUUGUUUGCGCACACGAAAAUAUGGAAAUUAGCCUCUGGAGGGUGGAAACCAUGGCUUACAACAUGAAGGCAGAAGAAAUAUGUUUCUAGAUCUCCUCAAACCAGAUCUUUCAUCAGAUGUUAAACAUAUGCAGUGGACACGGAUUAGUUGUACACAAAGCAUCCUGUUCAUUUGUUGUUAUGAUGGAACCGUCCAUGGCUUAAAUUUGAAACACGAUGAAAUGCUGCUUUCCUGCAACUUAUCAUCAACGAUCAUUGUGUGGGACAAUGCUGAUCUAAUUCUAGUCUCAAAAAUCAUUACUCUGUCAAGGAGUUUGGAUGGAAAUGAAAUUUUGAUUGCAAUGUUGAAAGGUUUCCAUAUAGUUGUUUCAUCCGUCAAAAUAGAGAGUUCUACUCCUGCUCAGCCAGCAUUGCUCCAUAAAUUCUCCACGCAAAUCACAGGAUUAGACAAAAUUAACGAUGAACAUUUAAUUUGCGGAUUAUGGAAUGGUGCUGUUUAUUUAAUUUCUGUGAAAACCGGUUUAUUAACUGUAGAUGCCAUCGAAAAAGAUAUCUCUUAUGCAAAUUAUUGCUGCCAAGGCCUUGCACUUUCAAGGAAUGGAGCGUUUGCAGUUUUAUGCAACAGCGUUUCUAAGUUUUUUGACCACUCCAACCUGCGGCAAACAGCACAUUUUUACCUAAUGGCAUUACCCAAAGAAAUUAUUGACCCAGCGUUACUAAUCGAAUCCUCUUUGAAGUCAAAAUCAUCAACUGUGAAUUCAAUUGCUGAUUGUUUAGCAUCGUACAGGUUCAGUAUUGUUUCUAAAGAACAAUCAAUACCACAAUACUUAGAAAAGCUGGAUGAUUUAUGUGCUUUGCCGGAUAAUGUGCUCCAAAUUUACCUUCGAUUAUUUCACUUUUUAGCUCCUUGUGAUCCUCUUGAAAGUGAAAAAUGGAGAAAACUGUCGAAUCUCAUCACAACUGUCCUUUAUGCCCGAUUUUUCACUCGCAAGAAAGUUUCCAAUCCUGUGGUGAUUCAAUGGCUGUACAAGACAGUCGAAGCUUUGGAUAGCAGUUUCAAGGAGUUAAUAGCAGCCUGUGAACAGUUGAUCUCCUCAGCUGGUAGUCAGAAAGCUGUAUGUGUGUUCUGUGAUGGAGAUGUUAGCGAUGUAAGCUUUGAUCACUUUAGUUGCAGUUCUGGCCAUAAAGUUCCUAUUUGCGCCUUUAGUUUCCAGCCUUGUUUAGUCAUUCCGUAUUGUGUCUGUGAUGGUUGUGGUGCAAUAGCUCUCCAAGAAUCAGUAUCAUCUAUGGUGGAGCACUGUGUGAUUUGUGGAGGCGACUUUCAGAUAGAUCUCACUGUUUCAGAAACUCAUAUCUAUGAUGGAGAGGCAGAUGAUGCGGAUCAACCGCGUGAAGAGACUGAAGUUGUCCAUGCUGGCACCAAGUUUCACGCGCAGGCGGAAGAAGAAGAACUUGACGACCCCUUGGCCGAUCCGCUAUUGUAAAGAAGCAUCUUGCUCUGAUACUCCUUGGUCUCAUUUUUUCUAGAGUAUAAAUUGGAAGUAUUUCUAUCAAACGGAACUAUGUGCAUUAAGACAAGAGCCCCGCGACCGAUAAGAAUACAUGCAUAACAGGGCUCACAUCAUAAUGCACAUAGUUCCGUUUGACAGAAAUACGUCCAAUUACUCAUUGUAUCUGCGGAUACCUCUUGAAAAAUGACAAGGUUCUCCACAGAUAUUAAGGAUCGAACAAUGUUGUUUGAUUGUGAUCCAAAAUGUUUGCUUUUCGACAACGGCGCACAAUGGAACGGGCCAAUGGGAGACGUCGGAUACAAUCUGGAAACUUUGAAAGCUUAUAUUUUCGAAAAUAUGAAAUAAAAAAGUUUAAGAGUGGUUCCAUUGGUUUUUCGUGAACAUCUCUUUCAUAGCACUCCUUUAAAUUGAAUUUGUUAUGAGAUAAACAUCAGAAUGUGACAUAAUUAUUAGCCAAAAAUUGCGUGUCUGUCCUCUUCUGUUAGCUCGUUCCACGAGCACUAUGGAUCGAGUCAAUAGGAGAGGUCGGACAAAAUUCGGAAACUUAUAUGCUUAUAUAUAACUCCGUUCACACAAAACUUUGAAGUUCUAAAAGUGGUUCCAUUAGUUUCUUUGUGAAAUUUCCUUCAAGUAGCACCCCUUAAAGUUUAAAAUGUGGCUAAGUAAACAUGAAAAUUUGCAGUUUUACAUAGUCAAAAAUUUCAUGUCCGACCUCUCUAAUUGACAGGAUUCACUGUGCGGCGUUGGUCUCGGAUUGAUGGUAAAACUACACGAACACGUAGCUCUAUUGUUAUCCAUCAAAACUGCGCAGAUCAAAAGUACACCAAAGUAUCCGAAGGGGAAUCACCCUGUACCCACGGAAUGCGCACUGAGAAAAAUAUUUCGUGUUCUUGUUUUACUUUCAGUUAAUAUAGGAGUGAAACACGAACCAACCCAAAUUUUGUGUUAAUCUCGGUAAAGUUUGCGUUCAGUUUAGAACAAAAAACAAUGGAAAAACCGAGAAACCCCAGUUUCAACCGAAGGCUUGGGUUACUUUGUGGUCCCUUCCCCUAGUAACCAAACUUAUGGGUUAUUUUUCCUCUCAGUGCAGCUGACAAAGGCUUGAUAAAUCGAUUUUCUCGAGGAGGUCCAGUCGGAAUUUUCCUAGUGAGCAGCUGUGCAACUUUCGAGCAGAGGAAGUAGGAAGUAAAUCCCCUUACUCUAGGUCACUUUAAUUGAAGCAUUUUGUGCAACGAGAGCGUCUAUGCCAUGCAACGCUGCUAAAAUUGUGCGACUCCGUUGCAAUCCUGUGUCAAUUCCAAUGACCACGCAAAAGUAUUCUUUUCCCCCAUUAUUCUUCGAAUUUUUAGUCAGCUCUCCUGAAAAAUUAUUUUGAAUGUACGAAAGUGUAAAGUAAAAUACAGUCUUAGCUGCACAAUCUUAGCAGCGUUGCAUGGGCAUAGACGGCAUCGUCAAAACAGAUACAUAAAAAUUGAAAGAUUUUGAAGUGCUCAUUUUUAAUCCUCCCCUUAUCAAUGCAACCAUGAAUCGCACCAGAGGGAGCGCGAGGUCAAAAGUUUGGCUAAAGUCGGACCGAUCUUCUCGGCCGCCAUCUUGGAUGACCCAGCGUCGCGCGUUCAAAUGGGUGCUCAGAAUCCGCAACUUCGAACUCAUUUUUCGUGGUUUAAUAUUGCUAUAAAAAUUGGGGGAAAAUCCUAUAAACUAUGAGCACUCUCUCGUUUUCAAAAAUGCAUGAAGUGGAAAUUACUGAACAAGCCCAUUGCAUUAGUCGAUAUAAUGGAGACAUCAAGACAUCAUAUAUUUGAAAUAUAUAAUUGGUAGUAUGGAUACAAUUCAUACUUGACUCAUUGAAGGUUUCUAAAAGGACACCAACGUGUAAAAACAGGAAGUAGGCACUUGAGAUUCGUAUUAAAAAUGCCCAUCUCGCAGUUCACGCCUUCGAAAAGUAAAUGAAUAAAAAAUGUGGAAAAAGAAUAAAAAAAUUCGACCAAAGCUCUCUUAUGUUAUAUUUUUAAGCAAGACUUCUUUUUUUUUCUUGAAAGGAAAUAAAAAAAAUUUAAAUAAUAAUCAAUGGACUUUGAAUUGCGCAUCCUC
rnacentral:lncRNA from 1 species